AACGCAUCUUGCGCCCCGUGGUAUUCCGCGGGGCACGCCUGUUUGAGUGUCACGUUAAUCAUCGCAUUAUAAUGAGUGAUCGUUAUAACGCGGAUUUGGACGUUGCCGUAGUUGGCUCGUCUCGAAAUGCAUUAGCUGUCUAAGGAUUCAGAGCUAAUGGUGUAAUACUUGUUGUUGCGCCGCCUGUUCUGUGUCUGGUGAAGGCUCAUAAAUCGUCCGCAAGGACAAUUACUUUAAGACUUUGGCCUCAAAUCAGGUGGGACUACCCGCUGAACUUAA
rnacentral:misc_RNA from 1 species